rnacentral:rRNA from 1 species
AUUGAACGCUGGCGGCAUGCCUUACACAUGCAAGUCGAACGGUAACAGGUCUUCGGAUGCUGACGAGUGGCGAACGGGUGAGUAAUACAUCGGAACGUGCCUAGUAGUGGGGGAUAACUACUCGAAAGAGUGGCUAAUACCGCAUGAGAUCUACGGAUGAAAGCAGGGGAUCGCAAGACCUUGUGCUACUAGAGCGGCCGAUGGCAGAUUAGGUAGUUGGUGGGAUAAAAGCUUACCAAGCCGACGAUCCGUAGCUGGUCUGAGAGGACGAUCAGCCACACUGGGACUGAGACACGGCCCAGACUCCUACGGGAGGCAGCAGUGGGGAAUUUUGGACAAUGGGCGCAAGCCUGAUCCAGCAAUGCCGCGUGCAGGAUGAAGGCCUUCGGGUUGUAAACUGCUUUUGUACGGAACGAAAAGCCCUGGGUUAAUACCCUGGGGUCAUGACGGUACCGUAAGAAUAAGCACCGGCUAGCUACGUGCCAGCCGCCGCGGUAAGAC